rnacentral:tRNA from 2 species
GUCACGAUGCCAGAGUGGUUAAUGGGUUAGACUUGAAUGGGUAUCAACCCGAGCGAUCUAAUGGCUUCGGCCGCGUAGGUUCAAGUCCUGCUCGUGACG